UACGUAGGGUGCGAGCGUUAAUCGGAAUUACUGGGCGUAAAGGGUGCGCAGGCGGAUAAAUAAGUUAGAUGUGAAAUCCCCGAGCUUAACUUGGGAAUGGCAUUUAAGACUGUAUAUCUAGAGUUUGUCAGAGGGGGGUAGAAUUCCAAGUGUAGCAGUGAAAUGCGUAGAGAUUUGGAGGAAUACCGGUGGCGAAGGCGACCCCCUGGGAUAGAACUGACGCUCAGGCACGAAAGCGUGGGUAGCAAACAGGAUUAGAUACCCUGGUAGUCCACGCCCUAAACGAUGUCUACUUGCUGUUGGGGGUAAAACCCUAGUAGCGAAGCUAACGUGAGAAGUAGACCGCCUGGGGAGUACGGUCGCAAGAUUA
rnacentral:rRNA from 1 species